rnacentral:lncRNA from 1 species
CCUCCAACGAGAUAUGUAGUAGGGCAGUGAUUGAAGUUGACAACAUUUAUCUGACUUGUACUUGUACUUUGCUGAUUAUGAUUGUGAAUAACUUUGUUUUUGUUUCCAAUUUGAGUCGCGCCUUGAGCUUCAGAUACCGAAAUGUUAAAUUCUUGCGGAUCACUUUGGUCUCCUUCCCGCUGAUCAGAAUCAUCACAGGCUUGUACUUGUUCCAUCAAUCUUAACAUAAAAUGUAUAUUAGACACUAUAUACGGAUAUAAUUAUGGAACAAAGUUUAUUUCUGGCGGAAGGGAACUAAUUUUCAACUAAGUUGGGUGUUGUGUACAGUAUUUUUCAGUUAAGGCGAAACACGACAGACAAAACAC